GGAGUCGCUGUUGGGAUACCACCCUUACCAUGUUGGAUUUCUAACCUGUGGCCGUAAGCCGGUCAGGGGACAAUGUCAGGCGGGGAGUUUGACUGGGGCGGUCGCCUCCGAAAGGGUAUCGGAGGCGCUCAAAGGUUCCCUCAGAAUGGUUGGAAACCAUUCGAAGAGUGCAAAGGCAGAAGGGAGCUUGACUGUGACACCGACGGGUGGAGCAGGUACGAAAGUAGGACUUAGUGAUCCGGUGGUAUAAAGUGGGAUUGCCAUCGCUCAACGGAUAAAAGCUACCCUGGGGAUAACAGGCUUAUCACUCCCAAGAGUUCACAUCGACGGAGUGGUUUGGCACCUCGAUGUCGGCUCAUCGCAUCCUGGAGCUGUAGCAGGUUCCAAGGGUUGGGCUGUUCGCCCAUUAAAGCGGUACGCGAGCUGGGUUCAGAACGUCGUGAGACAGUUCGGUCCCUAUCCGGCGCAGGCGGAGGAAAUUUGAUAGGAGCUGUCCUUAGUACGAGAGGACCGGGAUGGACGGACCGCUGGUGUAUCUGUUGUACUGCCAAGUGCAUAGCAGAGUAGCCAAGUCUGGAAGGGAUAAACGCUGAAGGCAUCUAAGCGUGAAGCCCCCCUAAAGAUAAGAUUUCCCAUACCGAAAGGUAGUAAGACCCCUUGAAGACGACGAGGUAGAUAGGGCAGAGGUGGAAGUACGGUAACGUAUGGAGCUGACUGUUACUAAUCGGUCGAGGCUUUAACCAAA
rnacentral:rRNA from 1 species